AUGCUUACUGGAGGAAAGAUGCCAUGAUUAGGAAGGUGGUUUUCCCAGGGCAAGGCUUACCCAUUGCACUGUGGAUGUGCUGUCUCUGUGAUUUCUCCAAACUCAGCAAAUUCCAGUGUAUAAUUUGUGGGAGUGAAAGACUGCUUUUAUGAUUUUCC
rnacentral:snRNA from 1 species